AUACGGAGGGUGCAAGCGUUAUCCGGAUUUAUUAGGUUUAAAGGGUCCGUAGGCGGGAAUAUAAGUCAGUGGUGAAAUCCUGCAGCUUAACUGUAGAACUGCCAUUGAUACUGUAUUUCUUGAGUUUAGUCGAGGUAGGCGGAAUGUGUAAUGUAGCGGUGAAAUGCUUAGAUAUUACACAGAACACCGAUUGCGAAGGCAGCUUACUAGGCUAUAACUGACGCUGAUGGACGAAAGCGUGGGGAGCGAACAGGAUUAGAAACCCUAGUAGUCC
rnacentral:rRNA from 1 species